rnacentral:rRNA from 1 species
UCAGACGAUGCGUCAUGCAUAUCAAUAAGCGGAGGAAAAGAAACUAACAAGGAUUCCCCUAGUAACGGCGAGUGAAGCGGGAAGAGCUCAAAUUUGAAAUCUUAAAGGGUUUCCCUUUACGAAUUGUAGUUUAAAGAAGUGUUUUCUGUUGAGGUUUUGGUAAAAGUUCUUUGGAAUAGGACAUCAUAGAGGGUGAGAAUCCCGUAUUUGACCAUUACCUUUCAACUUUGUGAUACACUUUCAAAGAGUCGGAUUGUUUGGGAAUGCAGUCCAAAAUGGGUGGUAAAUUUCAUCUAAAGCUAAAUAUUGGCGAGAGACCGAUAGCGAACAAGUACCGUGAGGGAAAGAUGAAAAGAACUUUGAAAAGAGAGUUAAACAGUACGUGAAAUUGUCAAAAGGGAAGCGUUUGACACCAGUGUUGUUUUUCUGAAAAUCAAUUAAAGAACUGUUUAUGCUAAGUUGUUUAGACUUUAUCAGCUAACUGUUUAGUUUUGAGCUUUUCUUUAAUGCACUUUUCAGUUAACAAGUCAACAUCAAUUUCUUUUGCUGUAAAAAAGCUUGAGGAAGGUGGCUUGAGAUUCGUCUUAAGUGUUUAUAGCCUCUUGCCUAUGCAGUCGGAGAGAUUGAGGUCUGCAGCGUAGAUCCUUCGGGGCUAAAUGCAUUUGUGCUAAGUUAUAGCAUUUUAUAGACAACUUGCUUGACUAUGAUUUGUCUUGUAGCUUACUCGCAUUAUGUUAUUUUACCUACGCUUAGGAUGUUGAAGUCAUCGUAUCGCGC